UGGCUGGCUGGGGACUUCUUGGAGUUGAGGCCCACAAGUCUUAAAGUUGCCAAGGUUGAACACCCCUGCCUUAGAUUAACUCAUAGAUGGUGUGAUAGAGCCAAUCAAAGUUCAUUAUCUUUGGGGCCAUAAGGAGCAGCCAACAAAAUGGCACCUAAUUGAACAGAUUUCUCACUAUCGAAGGUUCAAACCCAGCUGACCCCAUCCAUUUUCUAAACACUUAGAUUCUCCACACUCGUAUACCAAAGCAAACAAACAUGGAAAUAAGCAAAUACUGAGCACAAAUGUUAACUAGACCUAAGAACACUGGGUUGUACUUUAGAGACUCAAUAUUUUUCAGUAUCAUCCAACUUAGCCUAUGUGGGCUUUUUUCUUAAAAAAAAAAAAAGAAUUGUGUCUAAGGACAAGGAUCAAAGAUUUGGUUCCCAGAAGCCAAAUUAUCAAGCACAAAAGCAAUAGAUGUAAACAGCUGUGGGUUGUUUGCCUGUUCUUCUAGGACGUGCUCGGAGUCAGGAGGGGGUUGUUAGUGAACAUGUUGGUUUCAAGCACACUUUUGCAGGUUUUUCACAAUUUCUAUGUGUACAUAGUGCAGACUCACACUCAGGAAGCCCGUUUAGAUGCUACCACACAAAGAGCAAAUGCAACAAAGAUCUAUGUGUUGUUGUUGUUGUUUUUUAAAAAAACCACCAAAUCAUUAAUUUCACCAUGCCAUUAUUAUCGAAGUAGAUUAAGGAUAUCUCUUUUUUUGCCACAUAAUUUUUAUAUUUCUAUUAGUUGGUGUUUCAGCAGGAAAAAGAAACAAACGCCUUCAACUGUCUCUUACCAUGGGCGCACUUCCUUUAAAAAGUGUGGUCCAAGCCUGUUCCAUGGACGAAAAAACCAUCUCCAUUUAUCACUUCAUGUCAGAGAAAUGCAACACUACCAAAGAUGCAGGAGACUGCAAACCAAAGACCAUCAUAAUGUCUAUAUAUCCUUAUCUCAUUGCCAUUUUGUUGUCAUUGUCGAUUUUGUCAGAUCUUGCAUACAUUAGCCAACAAUGUUGGUCAAACUAUGGCUCUUUCAGCCCACCUUCCCAGAGAGCUGAAAGAGAUGUAGUUUCUCGAGUGAAGUAGCAAUGCUAACUUUUAAUCGCACUAGGGUACCGUGCUCACCUACCGAUGCAUAAACACUAUUGUCCUCAUCAGAAUUCCUCUGGUCACACAAUGUGCACAUUUACCAGUGAAUAGCCCCUUUCCUUCAAACACCACUUGAGUGUUUAUUAGCAAGCCAAAUGCUGUAAUGAUCCUUUAAAGACACUUGAGACUCUUUUAUGUACUACUUAAUCGAAACCAAAGAAACUUUUUCUGCACCUAUUUCUUCUGCAACAAACUGUUCCGUUUAAGGGGAAAAAAUAAAAUAAAAGAAAGAAAUGAAUAAUAAUUAAAAAAAAACAAACCAAACCAAACAAGGAAACACGUCAGGAAAAAAAAAAUAAACCAAUGAUAACACACUGUGUUUUGACAGACAUCUUGGUACAUUUUUAGGAAGCAGAGUUCAAAGAAAGGGUUGACAAGAAAGGAAACGAAUGGAAAAGCCAACAGGAUUGCUGCUUCAUUUGACAACUCAGUAAUCUUAAAGUUGAAGAUUGUCUUUAAUUUGUGCCUAUGCAGUUUUUUCAAAAGAACAAGGAACAGAGCAACCGAAACCUCAACAGCUACAAUACCAAAGAAUGAGGAUUUCUCACAACUUUUAGUUCAGUUCAUUCUCUCCCCUUGCACAGCGAAUAAUGCUUUUAGCACCAUUGAUCUGUGUGAAGGCAGGAAGUCAAACAAUAGCCAAGUACAAAUGGGAUUUUAGGAGAUGGCGACGGUAUUUUAAGCAUGCUAUGUGUCUGUAUUGAUUUAAGCAUCUGUCUGCUUGCCUUGAGUACUGCCUAUUUUAUAUGCUCUCUUUCUCAAAGGAAUGAUGGUGUAAUAGUAUCCCAACAUCUCUUUUUACCUUUUAUGCUUGGAGUUAUUUUUCAUGGGCACAUCCAAGAUGAAUUCAACUUUCAAGAAACCUUGGAUAUUGUUUAAUCAUCUGUGGAGGAACAAAGAAUGUGCUUGAUUACUUCGGUUGAAUAGCUUUAUUCUCGAUCUCUCUUAACUAAAGCUAAACCCAAAGACUAUGAAGGACAAAACCAGCAAAAUGUAACGCUCAGACUGACCUAUGGGAAUACAACCUCCUUUUCUUUUCUUUUCUUUUCUUUUUUUUUAAACCCAAAACCAACCAAGAAACAAGCAAAAAAGACAAGAUGUAGAAAUGACAUAGCAAUGGGGGAAAACACAAAUUCUGCAGCUUCUUUCUCGCUUGUCAGCAUAUUUAAAUAUUUUGUGAUCUUUCUAGAUGACACUUGGCCUAGUAUAUAUUUAUUAUGGGAAUUAUUAUUAUUAUUUUCUUUGUUAUCCUUUAAAUGUUUUUGCCGGAUAACUACAAAGCCUUUACUUCUGUCCUGAUAUGUUUGGGCUAUAUAACCCAUUAUAUUUGUUGAUCAGUUCUGAAAUUUAUUCUAAUUAGAUGGGGAUUCAAAACCGAAGUCUUAGCUCUAGUUAAGCGUUCAUUCCAUAUUAUCAUGAGAGGCAAACUCUCAUACAUAUAAAUGGUAUAUUUAUAGUAUACCAUCGUAUACUAUAAAUAAAGAGUUUUAGCUAGAGCUAAAACUGCAGGGAAGGGGGUCUAAUUGAUUGGUUUUGGUGAUUAUUUUGAUGACAUUCUUGUUUAUUGUAGUUGCAAUUCACCUGGAUCUGCUCCUGAGCAUGUGCCAUUGAAAUGAAUGGAUGUUCUACGUAAAUAUGUCUCAAAUUUCAAUGGGGCCUGUUCAUCAGCAUCUUUCAGGAUUCUGCCUUUUAUUUGCUAGAAUUAUUUUUUGCUUAUUUAAAGAACUUAGAAUUGUAGUGCAUCCUAGAUGCAAACUGAAAGUUAGCUCAGACAUUUUAUUUGGGGGCAAAAGGGAAUAUCGGUAAAGUUUCCAGAUUCUGUUACAGUUUCAGGUUACCAAAAUAAUAAUAAUAAUAGCAACAACAAUAAUAAAGUUACUAAGGAAAAGAAAAAUCUCUCACAUCCCUUUCCCCAAACUGAGGUAUGUUUUAUAUAUUUUAAUCAAUCUCAAUACUUUAUAAAAUGAUCAACCCUUAAGUUAUUUAAAUUAAUUCCUCCUUUUCAUCUCACUUAAAAGAUAAAAGAAAAAAAUAGUGAGGUAUACCUUUUAAUUAUUAUUAUGGCACAUAAAUGCCUUCGUAAUAUAACUUAUUUAUUUAACUUAUUCAGCAUCUACUAAAGGUGCCCUUGUAUAGUUUAGAUUUUAUUUUUUUUAAUAAAUCAAUUUAAAGCACUACAAUUUAUUUGCUGUCAGAACAAUAGAAUUAUUAUUAUUUCUUCUUCUUUUCUUUUAUGGACAAGCACGGAAUAUUUUGUCUAAACUCUACAUUCAGGAACAACAAGGGAUUUUUUUUCUUUAAAAAAAAAAACCCAAACACUACAACACUUUGCCUGAACUUUGUGGCUUUUUAAAAACCUAAGCUGGGGGGAAAAAAGAUAUAAAAUAACAACGAGCAAAAAAAAAAAAAAAAAAGUAGGUAAUUUUAAAAAGAGAGAAACCCUUAAAGUAGCUGCUUCCAAGAAUGAACUUUGUGUGUGUGUGUGUGUAUGUAAAACAAACAAACAAAAAAAAAGGUUUAAAAAAAACAGGAAAAAGGAAAAAAAAACUUUCUAUUUCUAGUGAGAACCAAAGAGGCUACCUCACUUGACUUUUCCAUUUGUAAUUUUAAUCGUGUUGAUGAUACCAAAGAUACCAAAGAAUUCUUUCUCUGUGCGGUCUGCAUCUUGCUUGUGCCCUUUAUAGUUUUAACGUUUUCUCUUUUACAUCCAGUAUGUACAGCUGCAACUCAAUUACUCACCCACCCACCC